rnacentral:rRNA from 1 species
AUUGAACGCUGGCGGCAGGCUUAACACAUGCAAGUCGAGCGGAGAUGAGGUGCUUGCACCUUAUCUUAGCGGCGGACGGGUGAGUAAUGCUUAGGAAUCUGCCUAUUAGUGGGGGACAACAUUCCGAAAGGAAUGCUAAUACCGCAUACGUCCUACGGGAGAAAGCAGGGGGUCUUCGGACCUUGCGCUAAUAGAUGAGCCUAAGUCGGAUUAGCUAGUUGGUGGGGUAAAGGCCUACCAAGGCGACGAUCUGUAGCGGGUCUGAGAGGAUGAUCCGCCACACUGGGACUGAGACACGGCCCAGACUCCUACGGGAGGCAGCAGUGGGGAAUAUUGGACAAUGGGGGAAACCCUGAUCUAGCCAUGCCGCGUGUGUGAAGAAGGCCUUAUGGUUGUAAAGCACUUUAAGCGAGGAGGAGGCUACUGAGACUAAUACUCUUGGAUAGUGGACGUUACUCGCAGAAUAAGCACCGGCUAACUCUGUGCCAGCCGCCGCCGUAAUAC